GGUGCACUUGAAGGAGCAAGUGAAGGAUUUCAAGGAAGGUAAAGACAUGAUCAGACAUGAACAUUUCAAUCAUCACGCUGGCAGAGAAAGAGUCAUUUCCUUUGGAAUCUGAGCACAAAAUAAGAUUGAACAGCUGUAGCUAUAAGGAAACAGGAAUUAACAAGAAAUCAUGGG
rnacentral:lncRNA from 1 species